UACGUAGGGGGCUAGCGUUGUCCGGAAUCAUUGGGCGUAAAGCGCGUGUAGGCGGUCCGGUAAGUCCGCUGUGAAAGUCGGGGGCUCAACCCUCGGAUGCCGGUGGAUACUGUCGGGCUUGAGUUCGGGAGAGGGAAGCGGAAUUCCGGGUGUAGCGGUGAAAUGCGUAGAUAUCCGGAGGAACACCGGUGGCGAAGGCGGCUUCCUGGACCGACACUGACGCUGAGGCGCGAAAGCUAGGGGAGCAAACGGG
rnacentral:rRNA from 1 species